rnacentral:rRNA from 1 species
GACGAACGCUGGCGGCGUGCUUAACACAUGCAAGUCGAACGCUGAAGACCUGGCUUUUGUUGGGUUGGAUGAGUGGCGAACGGGUGAGUAACACGUGAGUAACCUGCCCUCUUCUUUGGGAUAACGCCCGGAAACGGGUGCUAAUACUGGAUAUUCACUGAUCUUCGCAUGGGGGUUGGUGGAAAGGUUUGUUCUGGUGGGGGAUGGGCUCGCGGCCUAUCAGCUUGUUGGUGGGGUGAUGGCCUACCAAGGCUUUGACGGGUAGCCGGCCUGGGAGGGUGACCGGUCACAUUGGGACUGAGAUACGGCCCAGACUCCUACGGGAGGCAGCAGUGGGGAAUAUUGCACAAUGGGCGAAAGCCUGAUGCAGCGACGCCGCGUGAGGGAUGGAGGCCUGCGGGUUGUAAACCUCUUUCGCUCAUGGUCAAGCCGCAACUGUGGGUUGUGGUGAGGGUAGUGGGUAAAGAAGCGCCGGCUAACUACGUG